rnacentral:rRNA from 1 species
AGUGAACGCUGGCGGUAGGCCUAACACAUGCAAGUCGAGCGGCAGCACAGUAAUAGCUUCUUCUUACAGCUGCCGAGGGGCGGAUAGUUCAUAGAUACAUCGCUAUCUGCUUGUUCUUACGUCAGAACGUGGGGACACAUACGCUAAUCGCCCACACGACCUACGGGGGGAAUCAUCGGACCUUCCGACCUUAGAUGAUCCAAUGACGGGAUGUCGGAUUAGCUAGUUGGCGGGGUAAAGGCCCACCAAGGCGACGAUCCGUAGCUGGUCUGAGAGGAUGAUCAGCCACACUGGAACUGAGACACGGUCCAGACUCCUACGGGAGGCAGCAGUGGGGAAUAUUGGACAAUGGGCGAAAGCCUGAUCCAGCCAUGCCGCGUGUGUGAAGAAGGCCUUCGGAUUGUAAAGCACUUUUGUUGGGGAAGAAAAGCAGUAAGUUAAUACCCUGCUGUUUUGACGGUACCAAAAGAAUAAGCACCGGCUAACUUCGUG